CGGGCUCUGGGUGCAGUGGGGGUUCCCACGCCGCGGCAACCACCACUGUCUCUCCCCAG
ensembl:miRNA MIR6776 microRNA 6776